CAAUAGCGUAUAUUAAAGUUGUUGCGGUUAAAAGCUCGUAGUUGGAUUUCUGGCAGGAGCGACCGGUCGCACGCUAUGCGUGUGAACUUGUGUUGUCUCUGGCCAUCCUUGGGGAGAUCCCGUUUGGCAUUAAGUUGUCGGGCGGGGGAUACCCAUCGUUUACUGUGAAAAAUUAGAGUGUUUAAAGCAGGCUUAUGCCGUUGAAUAUAUUAGCAUGGAAUAAUAAGAUAGGACUUCGGUUCUAUUUUGUUGGUUUCUAGUACUGAAGUAAUGAUUGAUAGGGAUAGUUGGGGGUGCUAGUAUUGACCGGCCAGAGGUGAAAUUCUUGGAUUCGGUCAAGACUAACUUAUGCGAAAGCAUUCACCAAGGAUGUCUUCUUUAAUCAAGAACGAAAGUUGGGGGAUCGAAGAUGAUCAGAUACCAU
rnacentral:rRNA from 1 species